AACCUGAGACUUAGAACUACAUCUCCCACAAUACCUUUCUCCACCUCUCCUGUUUCUCCCCUAAUUCCUUUUACGCAAGAGACAAAGCUGUGUCCUUGCUCGCUGACAUCCCAGUCAACCAUGGUGUGACUCAUAAUAGCCGCCUGCCGCUAUGUGGCAAGGAAAAUAGCUGCUUCCCUGCGCCAGGAGGAUUUGAGAGAGCCUCUGUCCCUGCACAAGAAUCGGAUCUGCCAAGUUGGCAACCAAAGCCCCACAACAGGCAACCAAAGCCUCUCAACAAUGCCCCAAUCUACAUGAUGCUCUGUCGGCCAGGGGAGCACCCCUCCUUCUGCUUUAGAAGUUGGGACCCCAAAGCCUCCGACAUGAUGGAACAAAACAGAAGCAAGGAAAGCAGCGAAUGACGGUUCAUUUGGCAAGUCCUGGAUGCUCAGGAACUGAAUGGACCCAAGAAUCCUUCUGCCAUUUCCACACUGCACUGUUUCAUUCUGAAAAUAAAAUGCUUCUCUCUCAUGUUA